rnacentral:rRNA from 1 species
GACAGAGGUGCCGAGCGUUAGGCGGAAUCACUGGGCUUAAAGCGUGUGUAGGUGGAUGCCUAAGUACCUUGUGAAAUCCCACGGCUUAACCGUGGAACUGCUUGGUAUACUGGGUGUCUUGAGCCAGCUAGGGGCUACCGGAACAAAUGGUGGAGCGGUGAAAUGCGUAGAUAUCAUUUGGAACGCCAAUGGUGAAAACAGGUAGCUGGGGCCGUGCUGACACUGAGACACGAAAGCCAGGGGAGCGAACGGG